rnacentral:tRNA from 1 species
GCUCGGUUGGUGCAGUGGUUAGCACGUCUGCUUUACACGCAGAAGGUCGGAGGUUCAAAUCCUCCAUCGAGUA